UCAAAUCUGCAAUGAACUGUCAAACGUCAUAAAAAUAUUGAUAUUUUCACAAAAUUUUAAUUAAUUCUCCAAAUAAAAAAGAUAAACAGUUAAUGAUCAUAAAUUUAGUUUUGAAAACUACGAUUUGCACAGAACAAGUAAAAUGGCUUCAGCAUCAGGCUCAGGAGCAGCCGGUUCAAGUGACUGCGAGGGAGAGGAGCAGGAUGACUCGUCUUCUUCUUUUUCCAAUGACUUGGCGGAAGUCAACAAUAGCUUGAGACAAAUCAGCAUUGAUAAUAAAACUGAGAAUAAACCUUAUGAGGAUGAGUUGUCUGCAUUCCGACAACAGUGGCAGCGUGAGUUGGAAGCUACUCCUUCUCCGCAGCGGGAGCCAAAAAAACCAGUACAAGUUGAGGACGUUCCACAAACAGAUGAAGAGAAGGCUAAAGACCUGUUCCUGCGUGGUGUGGAGAUGGAGCGCGGUGGGAAGCUAUAUGAAGCUAUACAGCACUAUAAACGAGCUAUACAAAUCCUGCCUGAUGUGGAAAGCAGGCUUUAUGAUGGGAGUGACAUGAGGAUGGACACUCCUGUAGAGGAAUCUGAAACUGAAGAAAUAUGCAACAAUAAUGAGGAGGACAGUGAUGAUGACUAUGACGCAGUGGAGGGAGAGGAUCUCCAUGCUCGGCUGCAGCGAAUUGUGGCAAGAAAAGGGUAUUUGUGUCAGCCGCAAUUUCCUACUAAGGGUGGUCACAUCUCGUGGCUGCCAUACGAGGUGGUGCAGCUGAUACUGCGGUGGGUGGUGAGCGCGGAUCUAGACGCGGGCUCGCUGGAGCGCGUGGCGGGCGUGUGCCGCGGGCUGUACGUGUGCGCGCGCGAGCCGGACGUGUGGCGGGCCGUGUGCGUGCGCACCUGGGGCAUAGAAUGCGGCACCCCACGUACCCACGGGUUCCCAAACUGGCGGCAGAUGUUCAUAGACCGGCCCCGGCUCAACCUGAACGGGUGCUACAUCAGCAAGACGACGUACCUGCGCCACGGGGAGAACAGCUUCCAGGACCAGUUCUAUCGGCCCUGGUACCUGGUGGACUAUUAUCGGUACCUGAGGUUUUUCCCAGAAGGUUUAGUGCUAUCCUGGACUACUGCAGAUGAACCGGCCCAGUGUGUUGGACACCUAAAGUACAGAACUCCUAAACAUUCGCUGGGCAUCGUCGCGGGGCAUUAUAGGCUUGUGGGUGAUAAGGUGGUGGUAGUUAUAAAGAAGACAAACAGCGGUAAGAAAGUGAAUCAGCCAACUUACUCGAGGUUCAAGUCGCGACGGAAGGAGGCACCUGACGUGCACGAACAGAUAUUUCAUAUGGAGUUCGAGUUGCGCAGCGCGCGUUCCCGUCGCAACGCGGUGCUGUCGUGGCUGCACUACGCGGUGCGUGCGCGGGCGCAGUGGAGCACGCUGGAGCUGGCGGCCGGCAAGUUCCCGCCGCUGUGCUUCAGCCGCGUGCGCAACUACACCGCCGAGAGCGACGCGCCGCUGUGCUCGCGCGCCUGCUGACUGUGCUGCACUACGUUCUACAGUGAGUGUGGCCGCUGCACUACGUUCUACAGUGAGUGUGGCCGCUGCACUACGUUCUAAAAUAACGCUUUUCUACCUGCAGCACCCAUGCGAAUUCCUUUAUGGUUGUAAUUUAUAAUUUAAGUGUAUUUGCAAUAUUGUUUUGUAAAAGAAAUGCUAUUUUUGUGAUGUGUAAAUAAUAAAUUAUAGAUAUGCCAGUGCAAAAUAAAUUUGGAAAUAAAAAAUAAUGUUGCACAAAAUA